UGGGGAAUUUUGGACAAUGGGGGCAACCCUGAUCCAGCAAUGCCGCGUGUGUGAAGAAGGCCUUCGGGUUGUAAAGCACUUUUGUCCGGAAAGAAAACGUCGUGGUUAAUACCCGUGGCGGCUGACGGUACCGGAAGAAUAAGCACCGGCUAACUACGUGCCAGCAGCCGCGGUAAUACGUAGGGUGCAAGCGUUAAUCGGAAUUACUGGGCGUAAAGCGUGCGCAGGCGGUCCGCUAAGACAGAUGUGAAAUCCCCGGGCUUAACCUGGGAACUGCAUUUGUGACUGGCGGGCUAGAGUAUGGCAGAGGGGGGUAGAAUUCCACGUGUAGCAGUGAAAUGCGUAGAGAUGUGGAGGAAUGCCGAUGGCGAAGGCAGCCCCUUGGGCCAAUACUGACGCUCAUGCACGAAAGCGUGGGGGAGCAAACAGGAUUAGAUACCCUGGUAGUCCACGCCCUAAACGAUGUCAACUAGUUGUCGGGUCUUCAUUGACUUGGUAACGUAGCUAACGCGUGAAGUUGACCGCCUGGGGAGUACGGUCGC
rnacentral:rRNA from 1 species